GCUUAACCGGAGAAGUGCAUCGGAAACUGGGAGACUUGAGUGCAGAAGAGGACAGUGGAACUCCAUGUGUAGCGGUGGAAUGCGUAGAUAUAUGGAAGAACACCAGUGGCGAAGGCGGCUGUCUAGUCUGUAACUGACGCUGAGGCUCGAAAGCAUGGGUAGCGAACAGGAUUAGAUACCCUGGUAGUCCAUGCCGUAGACGAUGAGUGCUAAGUGUUGGAGGGUUCCGCCCUUCAGUGCUGCAGCUAACGCAUUAAGCACUCCGCCUGGGGAGUACGACCGCAAGGUUGAAACUCAAAGGAAUUGACGGGGGCCCGCACAAGCGGUGGAGCAUGUGGUUUAAUUCGAAGCUACGCGAAGAACCUUACCAGGUCUUGACAUCUUCUGCCAAUCUUAGAGAUAAGACGUUCCCUUCGGGGACAGAAUGACAGGUGGUGCAUGGUUGUCGUCAGCUCGUGUCGUGAGAUGUUGGGUUAAGUCCCGCAACGAGCGCAACUCUUAUUAUCAGUUGCCAGCAUUCAGUUGGGCACUCUGGUGAGACUGCCGGUGACAAACCGGAGGAAGGUGGGGAUGACGUCAAAUCAUCAUGCCCCUUAUGACCUGGGCUACACACGUGCUACAAUGGACGGUACAACG
rnacentral:rRNA from 1 species